CUGGGGCCAAAAUCAUAACAGCAAUAGCAGUUUCCUCGGCUGAGCCCAUUUGUCUCUAGGAGUCACGGCUGAAUCAGUCACAUGACCAUCAGGGCUGCCAGUCUCCUCUUCCUCCCGUCUUCUUUUGUUAGAACCGUCAGAUAGUCUCUGAGAUCUUAGGAACCCUGUUUUGUUGUAUAUCCUCUGCCCUGGUAUGAAGAAAAGAUGAUUCUUACUGUGGGCUUUAGCUUUUUGUUUUUCUACAGGGGCAUGCUGUGUGACAAAGUAACUCAGAGUUCCCCGGACCAGAUGGUGGCGAGUGGCAGUGAGGUGGUACUGCUCUGCACUUACGACAGUACAUAUUCAGAUCCAGGUUUAUUCUGGUACCGCAUAAGGCCAGAUUAUAAUUUUCAGUUUGUCUUCUAUGGGGAUAAAAGCAGAUCUCACGGUUCAUAUUUUGCUAAAGGACGGUUUUCUGUGAAGCACCUUCUGACCCAGAAAGCCUUUCACUUGGUAAUCUCUCCAGUGAGUACUGAAGACAGUGCCACUUACUACUGUGCCAUGAGCACGAUGAUGCAGGUGCCCAGGAAGUCUUAACACAAACUCCUGGGGCAUGGCUCAGCAGAGCUACCUCUCAGGGUGGGUCAUGUCUGGGACUUGGCAUCCUUCUCUUAGCCAUUUUGUGUUCCAGCCUGGCCUUUAGAAGUGACCUAAAGUGUCUUCUGAGAAAUAAAUGGCCUGGUCAGAUCCAGGGGAGCACCCUGGCUUCAGAGAAGCAGAACAUCUCCCCACUUCUGACUCAGUGGGCCCUUGCCACCUGAAUGACUCCUGGUAGGCAAGGGAGAACUGCAUGUUUAGGGAGCAUUGUCUUUGUGUCCC